GAACGGAGGUCUUAGCUUGGACUACUUGAGUUCCAUCUUUUAAGUACGACGAAGACAAGUUUCUUCGAAGGUUACAAAGCGAAGACUUGAAGCGCUCAGCAUAUGAAGGAUUUGUGAAUUGACGCUAGGAGUGAGGAUUUGUGAAGCUUAGUAUCAAAGGAAAGAGGGUCGGAUCUUACGAUGGUGAGAGGGACUGAAG
rnacentral:lncRNA from 1 species